rnacentral:rRNA from 1 species
CGGCGGACGGGUGAGUAACACGUGGAUAACCUACCUAUAAGACUGGGAUAACUUCGGGAAACCGGAGCUAAUACCGGAUAAUAUAUUGAACCGCAUGGUUCAAUGGUGAAAGACGGUUUUGCUGUCACUUAUAGAUGGAUCCGCGCCGCAUUAGCUAGUUGGUAAGGUAACGGCUUACCAAGGCAACGAUGCGUAGCCGACCUGAGAGGGUGAUCGGCCACACUGGAACUGAGACGACGGUCCAGACUCCUACGGGAGGCAGCAGUU